AAACCGUUCAGGGGUAAACCUGAGAAACCCAAAAGAUCGAAUGGGGAGACUCAGCGUCAGCCGCUUGUUGGCUUGCGUGCGGCUCGCGAUGCUCUCGGGUGGCCUUUCACGAGGUCUUUCACGAGGGCACGCGGUCGCUGCGUCAUGUCCGGCGCGGUCGGCGUGCACUUCUCCCCUAGUAGGACGUCGCGACCCGUUGGGUGUCGACCGACGGCCCGCGAGGUAGCCUGGGGCGCAGCGCGUUAAUAGCGCGCUCGCGUCUCAGACCCGCGUGUGCCCGGCUCGACUGCCCGGCGGUAGAGAUCGCUUAUGAUAAUGGUAUGGGGUCGCACGCUCAUGUAAAUCUGCGAUGCGUUUCGGCCCGUCGACAGACUGGCCUCGCUCGGCGUUUACGGACCUGGUGCCGUUGCCGAGCGCUUGGUCGGUCCAAUUCGACGGUGUCCUCGAACGGGCCCUGCUUUAAAACAUACCCGUCGGCGACGCUACUGCUUUGGGUACUUUCAGGACCCGUCUUGAAACACGGACCAA
rnacentral:rRNA from 1 species